rnacentral:rRNA from 1 species
UACGUAGGGUGCAAGCGUUGUCCGGAAUUAUUGGGCGUAAAGGAGCUCGUAGGCGGUUUGUUGCGUCGGCUGUGAAAUCCCGAGGCUCAACCUCGGGUCUGCAGUCGAUACGAGCAAACUAGAGUGUUGCAGGGGAGACUGGAAUUCCUGGUGUAGCGGUGAAAUGCGCAGAUAUCAGGAGGAACACCGGUGGCGAAGGCGACAUCCUGGACCGGUAUUGACGCUGAGGCGCGGAAAGCCAGGGGAGCAAACGGG